rnacentral:rRNA from 1 species
GACGAACGCUGGCGGCGUGCCUAAUACAUGCAAGUCGAACGCUGAAGCGAGGAGCUUGCUCUUCUUGGAUGAGUUGCGAACGGGUGAGUAACGCGUAUGUAACCUGCCUGGUAGCGGGGGAUAACUAUUGGAAACGAUAGCUAAUACCGCAUAAAAUUGAUUAUUGCAUGAUAAUUAAUUGAAAGAUGCAACUGCAUCACUACCAGAUGGACCUGCGUUUUAUUAGCUAGGUGGUGAGGUAACGGCUCACGAAGGCGACGAUACAUAGCCGAACUGAGAGGGUGAGCAGCCACACUGGGACUGUGACACGGCACAGACGGCUACGGGAGGCAGCAGGAGGGAAACGUCGGGCAUGGGGGGAAACCUGAGCGAGAAACGCCGAGGGAGGGAAGAAGGGUGUCGGAUCGGAAAGCUCUGUUGUAAGGGAAGAACGGGUGUGAGAGUGGAACGUUCACACUGUGACGGUAACUUAUCAGAAAGCAACGGCUAACUACGUG